GACGAACCGUGCGAACGUUGUUCGGAAUCAUUGGGCUUAAAAGGGCGCGUAGGCGGGUGGACAAGUCAGGGGUGAAAGCCCACGGCUCAACCGUGGAAGUGCCUUUGAUACUGUCCGUCUGGAGGGAGGUAGGGGCGUGCGGAACUUCCGGUGGAGCGGUGAAAUGCGUAGAUAUCGGAAGGAACACCGGUGGCGAAAAGCGGCGCGCUGGAC
rnacentral:rRNA from 1 species